GACGAACGCUGGCGGCGCGCCUAACACAUGCAAGUCGAACGGAGCUUAGAGAGCUUGCUUUUUAAGCUUAGUGGCGAACGGGUGAGUAACGCGUGAGUAACCUGCCCUAGAGUGGGGGACAACAGUUGGAAACGACUGCUAAUACCGCAUAAGCCCACGGUACCGCAUGGCACUGAGGGAAAAGGAUUUAUUCGCUUUAGGAUGGACUCGCGUCCAAUUAGCUAGUUGGUGAGGUAACGGCCCACCAAGGCGACGAUUGGUAGCCGGACUGAGAGGUUGAACGGCCACAUUGGGACUGAGACACGGCCCAGACUCCUACGGGAGGCAGCAGUGGGGGAUAUUGCACAAUGGGGGAAACCCUGAUGCAGCGACGCCGCGUGGAGGAAGAAGGUUUUCGGAUCGUAAACUCCUGUCCUUGGAGACGAGUAGAAGACGGUAUCCAAGGAGGAAGCCCCCGGCUAACUACGUG
rnacentral:rRNA from 1 species